rnacentral:snRNA from 1 species
UGAGAGCCCCGUCGUGCCCG